rnacentral:rRNA from 1 species
GCAACAGGUCUUAAAUUGAAUNUCUGCCAGCCGGACCUUGAAAAACUUUACGUAGUAGUAACAACAAACCGUUCAGUCAACUAAAGGAUCGAUUGGCCUGAAAAUAAUGACACCAACCUCUCUAGGUUUGACCUCAGAUCAGACAAGGAUACCCGCUGAACUUAAGCAUAUCAAUAAGCGGAGGAAAAGAAACCAACAGGGAUUGCCUCAGUAACGGCGAGUGAAGCGGCAACAGCUCAAAUUUGAAAUCUGAAGCUUUUAGUUUCCGAGUUGUAAUUUGAAGAGGAUGUUUCGGUUGUGACUGUGGCCUAAGUUCCUUGGAACAGGACGUCGUAGAGGGUGAGAAUCCCGUACAUGGCUAACAGUUUACUUCCAUGUGUAACUCCCUCGAAGAGUCGAGUUGUUUGGGAAUGCAGCUCAAAAUGGGUGGUAAAUUUCAUCUAAAGCUAAAUACUGGCGAGAGACCGAUAGCGCACAAGUAGAGUGAUCGAAAGAUGAAAACCACUUUGAAAAGAGAGUUAAACAGUACGUGAAAUUGUUGAAAGGGAAGCGUUUGCAAUUAGACUUGCUUUCGGUUGAUCAACGUUCCUUUUGGUUCGUGCACUCUGCCGUUCGCAGGCCAGCAUCGGUUAGGGCGGUGGGACAAAGACUCUGAGAAUGUGGCUUUCUUCGGGAAGUGUUAUAGCUCAGUGUGUAAUGCUGCCAGUCCUGACCGAGGUCCGCGCUUUUGCUAGGAUGCUGGCAUAAUAGUUGUAAACGACC